AUUGAACGCUAGCGGGAUGCCUUACACAUGCCAGUCGAACGGCAGCACGGACUUCGGUCUGGUGGCGAGUGGCGAACGGGUGAGUAAUGUAUCGGAACGUGCCCAGUAGCGGGGGAUAACUACGCGAAAGCGUAGCUAAUACCGCAUACGCCCUACGGGGGAAAGCAGGGGAUCGCAAGACCUUGCACUAUUGGAGCGGCCGAUAUCGGAUUAGCUAGUUGGUGGGGUAACGGCUCACCAAGGCGACGAUCCGUAGCUGGUUUGAGAGGACGACCAGCCACACUGGGACUGAGACACGGCCCAGACUCCUACGGGAGGCAGCAGUGGGGAAUUUUGGACAAUGGGGGAAACCCUGAUCCAGCCAUCCCGCGUGUGCGAUGAAGGCCUUCGGGUUGUAAAGCACUUUUGGCAGGAAAGAAACGUCGCGGGUUAAUACCCCGCGAAACUGACGGUACCUGCAGAAUAAGCACCGGCUAACUACGUG
rnacentral:rRNA from 1 species